rnacentral:rRNA from 1 species
UAGGGAAUCUUCCGCAAUGGACGCAAGUCUGACGGAGCAACGCCGCGUGAGUGAAGAAGGAUUUCGGUUCGUAAAACUCUGUUGUUAGAGAAGAACAGCGCAUAGAGUAACUGUUAUGCGUGUGACGGUAUCUAACCAGAAAGCCACGGCUAACUACGUGCCAGCAGCCGCGGUAAUACGUAGGUGGCAAGCGUUGUCCGGAUUUAUUGGGCGUAAAGCGAGCGCAGGCGGUCAAUUAAGUCUGAUGUGAAAGCCCCCGGCUCAACCGGGGAGGGUCAUUGGAAACUGGUUGACUUGAGUGCAGAAGAGGAGAGUGGAAUUCCAUGUGUAGCGGUGAAAUGCGUAGAUAUAUGGAGGAACACCAGUGGCGAAAGCGACUCUCUGGUCUGUAACUGACGCUGAGGCUCGAAAGCGUGGGUAGCAAACAGG